AGAUGGCGACCGGCGCACGGGUGAGUAACACGUAUCCAACCUGCCGAUAACUCGGGGAUAGCCUUUCGAAAGAAAGAUUAAUACCCGAUGGUAUAAUCAGACCGCAUGGUUUGAUUAUUAAAGAAUUUCGGUUAUCGAUGGGGAUGCGUUCCAUUAGGCAGUCGGUGAGGUAACGGCUCACCAAACCUUCGAUGGAUAGGGGUUCUGAGAGGAAGGUCCCCCACAUUGGAACUGAGACACGGUCCAA
rnacentral:rRNA from 1 species